rnacentral:rRNA from 1 species
UGGGGAAUAUUGGACAAUGGAGGCAACUCUGAUCCAGCAAUUCUGUGUGUGUGAAGAAGGUUUUAGGACUGUAAAACACUUUUAGUAGGGAAGAAAGAAAUGACGGUACCUACAGAAGAAGCGACGGCUAAAUACGUGCCAGCAGCCGCGGUAAUACGUAUGUCGCGAGCGUUAUCCGGAAUUAUUGGGCUUAAAGGGCAUCUAGGCGGUUAAACAAGUUGAAGGUGAAAACCUGUGGCUCAACCAUAGGCUUGCCUACAAAACUGUAUAACUAGAGUACUGGAAAGGUGGGUGGAACUACACGAGUAGAGGUGAAAUUCGUAGAUAUGUGUAGGAAUGCCGAUGAUGAAGAUAACUCACUGGACAGAAACUGACGCUGAAGUGCGAAAGCUAGGGGAGCAAACAGG